rnacentral:rRNA from 1 species
AAUGAACGCUGGCGGCAUGCCUAACACAUGCAAGUCGAACGAAGGCUUCGGCCUUAGUGGCGCACGGGUGCGUAACGCGUGGGAAUCUGCCCUUGGGUUCGGAAUAACAGUUAGAAAUGACUGCUAAUACCGGAUGAUGUCGUAAGACCAAAGAUUUAUCGCCCAAGGAUGAGCCCGCCUAGGAUUAGCUAGUUGGUGGGGUAAAGGCCUACCAAGGCGACGAUCCUUAGCUGGUCUGAGAGGAUGAUCAGCCACACUGGGACUGAGACACGGCCCAGACUCCUACGGGAGGCAGCAGUAGGGAGUAUUGGACAAUGGGCGAAAGCCUGAUCCAGCAAUGCCGCGUGAGUGAUGAAGGCCUUAGGGUUGUAAAGCUCUUUUACCCGGGAUGAUAAUGACAGUACCGGGAGAAUAAGCUCCGGCUAACUUCGUG